rnacentral:lncRNA from 1 species
CUCAUCUCAGAACAAUGGCUAAGGAAUUCUCAAAGGCCAGAGAGAGUCCCAUGGAGUUUGCUAAAGAAUUCGGGAUCAUUCCCUCUACUGACCAACCUAGCUUCUUAGACCUUUAUCAGCUAGCCCAAAUAUUGGUGGGCCCAGCAGAUGUGCAUCAGUGGUUUAAGACAGCCCAAUGGAAAAAUCCUUUGGAGCACAUAAAUCACUUAAAGCUUAGAAAGGAUGAGCCUGAAGUCCACCUACAAGAAGCCAGAAAACUUGGGGAGGCCUUAUUAGAGGCUAUUCCCAAGGCUUUUCCAAAGCCUGUCAAUAGAGGAAACAUUCAGGUUUGCACUCAAAAGGUGGGAAAAUGCAUUUUUGGUCCUUAUAAUGAGUUUCUAACUACAUUUGAAGCCAACUUUGGCUUUUCUCCAGAUAACCCUGAUGCAUCCUUGGUUUCUAGAUGUUUUCCUUUCAGGUACUCAACCAAAAGGCAAAGGGUAAGAAGUUGUUAUUUUUGUAACAAGCCUGGACACCUGAAGAGAGAUUGUAGGGAGCUGCUAAGUAAGUUAAAACAGCACCAAGGAAGGCAUGAUCAUGCUUCCUGAGAGGUUUUCCAGGACUCUGCAUCAAGAAGGCUCAAACUUAUAGGAGCAGAGCAGCCAGAGUAGCAAAAGAAGGAUUUACCAACAAGUGCUGAGCAGAUGUAACCUUCCUUGUUCAAUGAUCUGACUUCAUUUUCCUGUGUGAUUUAUCACGUUUGCAAACUGGCAUAAUCUCAAGCAUUUUGUUGUUCAUUUAGAUUUUUCUUAUUUGUAUAAAUUUCAGAUAAGGAGAAGAUCAUUUAAUUGAGUUCUGAGUAAUUAUCUUGCUAUAAAGAGUGUAGAUGGAGGUGGUUAUUUGAAUAUUCAGCUAGGAAGACUCAUUUCCCAUCUCGCAAUGAGAGGGAACUUGGAA